rnacentral:rRNA from 1 species
UACGAAGGGGGCUAGCGUUGCUCGGAAUCACUGGGCGUAAAGCGCACGUAGGCGGACUCUUAAGUCGGUGGUGAAAUCCUGGAGCUCAACUCCAGAACUGCCUUCGAUACUGGGAGUCUCGAGUCCGGGAGAGGUGAGUGGAACUGCGAGUGUAGAGGUGAAAUUCGUAGAUAUUCGCAAGAACACCAGUGGCGGAGGCGGCUCACUGGCCCGGUACUGACGCUGAGGUGCGAAAGCGUGGGGAGCAAACAGG